UCUUCAACAUGUAUUUUUGCUGUCUGCCUGGAAUGAAAGAAAAUGUUUGCCGGUGAAAUCAAUGUUUAAAUCCAAUAUUUCCAAAUAAUGUGCCCGACCACUGCCCUGCCAUAGCUAGCGUUAACUUAGUUCAGCAGAGAGUAGCGGGUCGGCACACUGAAAAUAUUGGAUUUACACGUUGGUGUAGCCCCGGAUAAACAUUUUAUCAUUCCUGACAGACAGUAGACAUCUGUAAGGUGAGGAAAAUACCAUAAAGGAUGUAACCCGCUCUUCAAUAACAGAAUCUCUGGAGGUCUGCUACUCUUUUGGGAUUUAUUUAACCGUCAAAACAGGUCUUUCUGACAGUGACUCAGCACUUCACUUCAUAGACGACCUAACCACAGUAAUGCUUCCCUCUGGUGGUAAUAAGCAAAACUCACUGCAAGUGAGUAGAUGAUGUGAGCUACACUACAUCUGCAGGUUAUGGCUGAGAAAAGUGUCAGACCCGCCAGAAUGUACAGUUUCAGUUCUUUGUUUUCUGUUAGGAAAAGAAGAAGUAAAAACAGACAAAGCAAAUGUUUAAUCACAGACUAAAACACAGUUUUGAAGUAGAUGCAGAGCAGGCAUAAGACCACACUUCUGCACAAUUUAAAAAUAUGUCCCUUUAGUAAAACUCAAUCUUGUCCUUUCAUAUUAAGAUAAAUGUGACUUGAUAUUAGUGCAUUGUUCCCGAGGAUGCUCCCAAUAUUUAACUUUUAAUUUACUCUACUGUUAAUUCCCAUUUUCACUCCAGUCAAACAAAUCACACAGAUUUGGUCAGGUUUUCAAACAAGUAGCAGAUUAGAUCAUUUUGAUCCCAAUACCACACUGUCUGAUAUGGCAACUAUAAAUUGGCGUCUACCUCGCCAUCGGCUGGACAACCAAUGUUAAAACACAUUGUUGUGCCAAAUCAGCCAUAAAUACAGUAUCCCUCUGACCUAACAGACUGGUUCCUUACUUUAUUUUUAAUUACUCAAUAUAUUCUACACUCAUCAAAACUCAGAAGGCUGUAUAAACAAAAAAUGUGUAUUUGAAUCAUAUGCAUUAAAGUAUGAAAAUGUCAGGUAUUAAUUAAAACGUGUACCAAAAAAAAUAUGAGAUUAAAAUAGGCACAAAUCUAUCUUUAUAAAUAGAUAAAUAAUAUUUAAGUGUGCAUACACUUUAACAACAGGCUAAAACAGGAACAGGUCAGAGUUAACGUUAUAUUCUAUGCUUUGAAUAAUUAAUUACAAGUUGUGCCUUAACUGAAUCUAUAAUCACUUUGGAUGAUUCGAAGGCCUUUCGGAGAAACUUAAUGAUGGUCUUCAGGUAAUGUGUAUAGAGCACAAGGGUCUGGAAACAAACUUUUACCUGUUGAGCCCAUGUACAAGACAAGAAGAAAUCAAUUCACUCGCACCCAAUGGAAUCGGUACUGUAAGUGAGAAAAUGGCUGUAAUUUGGCUGAACUGACACUUGAAAAUUCACUUGAGGCAGAUCCUUCUCACACACUGUUCUUUCAUUGUAAAACUUAGGCUGGCAGUAAUUGUGUCAUCUUCUUUUACUUACGCAGCAAUACCGCAGUGUAGAAAUACUCUGUUACAAGUUAAAGUCCUGCAUUCAAACCUUUACUUAAGUAAAAGUACAAAAGUAUUAGGAUCCAAAAUAUUCUUCAAGAAUUAUAAAUAUUGAUGCAUUUUACUUUAAUGUUGCAGCUGGUAAAGGUGGGGCUUAUAGCUUGUGAAUUUAUAAAGUCUUAUCCAUAUCCAUAAUAAUACAUCAUAAUCAUCAUCAUAAAUAAUGUUUAUUAUUUAUUUUGUAUUAUUAAUUUGAAUCUGCAAGGAAAGUAGUAACUAAAGCUGUCAAAUAAAUGCAGUUGAGUAAAAAAUACAAUAUUUGCCUCUGAAAUGUGGUGGAGUAGUAGAAAGUAGCAUAAAAUGGAAAUACUCUUACUUUCCACCACUGGUCAUCUUUGACAGACUACAGAGCAACCGUAUAAAACUUAAGCAGUUUGCAGGAUGUGGAGUUGUACGUUUAUGGGCCGUCUUAUCCCAGUGGGAGUGCAGAACUUUGAAGUUUACUGAUCAUAUUUAUUCCAGAGAAAGAGAAGAACAAUACUUAGGGAUGUGACUGAUGUGGAAAGAGAGUUCAGGAAGGUUUCGUAAGACAUAUCAUAUGAAAUCACUUACUGCUAACCCACACUGUGACUGGUUUGUUAGGGAAACCCAGGUGUUGGUAAUUAGAUUGUUAGGUAAUUACUGUAGUACGCUCAAGAAAAACCACUGGGAUGUGACCUUUCCCUGUCUCUCAUUACUUUUACUAUCUCAGCAAAACAUAGAUUUUUUUUUCUGUAGCAUUCACCUUGUACAACAGACAUUAAUAAAGGGAAACCUUAAUUUAAAAAUCAUAGAUAGUCAGAGUCAGAUAGUCAUUGGCUACAGUCUCUUUCAGUAUGUGACUGCCUCUGACUUUAAGGUUGCAGAGAACUGCACAGUCGUACUUCUAAAAAAGUGUCUGUCUGCUCAGGUAGGUGGCCUGUCUGGCCCAGUUGCUGAUGGCUGUGUUUGAUGGCAAGUGGCUGCAGUUAUUCUGAGCUCCAUACAGAGUGACAGACAGACCCUGGAGAAAGAAACACAGACAGACAGGCAGAUGGUAGAAGCAGCAGUUUGGGUAUAGGUGCAGAUUCCCCUUAGACUGUCUGGGUCACUGCAGACACAGAGUGGUCACAAAGGUGACUCUCUCCUCCUUGCUUUGUGUCCAGUCUCCUCUGUCCUCUUUAAAAUAGAGAGGAGGAGGAAAAUGACAGAAAAGUGUCAGACUUGCUAUCAAAGAUGAGAAAUGCCCUUGAGUAAGCAACACAAAACAAAACAUCAGAGAAUCUAAUAGUUACAAUUGAUGUGAAACCCUCUGACACCAAACAAUCUGUGCAACUGCAGUGCACAAAAAACAAUAAAUAUUAUAGGAAUGAAAAAAUAAAUAAAAUGUUGUCCUGCGUAUUUUUAAUUUUCAAUAGUAAAAAGUGCCUUUAUAUUUGUAAUACUAUCACAUUCAAGUAACAUGAAUCAACGCUCUUAAUUUAAAAGGUAUACAGACUGAACGUUUAUAAGAACAAAAAAAAUGUUUUUUAAAUGGUGAUUCACCAGUGCAAAAAUGCCAAACGAGUGUUCACCAACCUGAUAAGACAAAGUUAAAUUAAGAACCAGAACCUCUACUCUCCUACAAACCCAGAGAUUUCCCAUUUACAGUAUAUUCAGAAUUUUAGUAAAACUUUUAUAACAUCAAAACCUACAAGGUGUGUGAUACAUUUUUAUAAGAAAAAAACAAUUACAGCUUUAAAUGAAAGCAAAGCAUUUUAUUAGAUGCAAUAUUCAAUAUUGAAAUACAAAAGGCACUGAAUUCUGUUCUCCCAAAACAAUGCAUACAGAGAUGUGUGAAUGAAUACAAAUCUUGUAUUACAUAAUGGAUGUAAGAUCGAACCUUAAAUUAGACCACUAUCUGUUGCAAGAACAUCACACAAAUGAUCUGGAGUUUGCAAUUGUUCUUUAAGAAUGCUAACAUAGGGUACAUCUACGCUAAUGUUUUAAAACAGUACAUCAAAUAAACACACAUAUGCAUGUUUUUCAAUAUAAGAAAUCACAUAGAAAAUAUACAUCAGUACACAAAUAAUUUAGAGCUUGGUGGUAGAGAGGUACAGGGAGUAGAGAGGUACAGGGAGGAGAAUUAAAUGAAAAUGCAGUACCUUAGCUGCAUACUGGUGAUGUUGAGACACUGGUUCUCUUUAAAGUAAGGUAAGUGUUAUGGAAAGUUUGCACUGCUCUAGUAGAAAUUACAAAUCAGAUACACAUCAGUGAAAUCGGGGGUUCAUGCCAUGCUUCUCCUGUCAAAACUCAUUCUGUGAAUUCUGAGAUCUCUGAUUAUUCCUAAAGAUUCACACUGGCUGAAUACUUACAUUUCUACACUGUUAAGCUUAGUGAAAAAUAAGCCGUUCCUCUUCCUGCAUUUACUGUUAGUAGUGAAAUCAACAGAAUAGGCUCAGCCCAUUACAGCAAACUGUAUGAAUUGGUGUAAAUCUACUUCAAGAUCUUUCAUUAUUUUCCAUUUUGAUAGUCAGUAUUGCUUUGGUUUCCUUACAAACAACUUUUGAGAAAGGCAGUGAUCAAAGAUGCAGUUGAAGCUGCUUCAUAAACAAUUUUAAUAAUGACAGUGAAAGUGAAAUCAAAUUAUAUUCUCUCUGUAUUCUAAAUUAAAGUAAGACUUAAAUUAGUUUGAAAUGAAUUGAAGCAAAACACUUUGAUUUCCUCUGUGGAUGUGAUCUUUAUGCAGAAACCAUCAUGUGAUACCAAAUACCAAAAUAUACAGUAUUUCCACCGCUUUUCUGACACCACACUGGUUUUUCAGAAAGAUCUUACCAAAAUUUUGGUUCCAGACAAAAGUCAAAGGCACACGUUUUAAAAACAUAGCAUUACAAUCUGAAAGUGAUGGGGGGGUGUCAGUCUGAGAAUUGAGAACUGAGUGUUUUUCCUUAUUGAAUAAUUGAAACAGAUUUAAAUGAUUAGUUACAGUAACAGUAAUAUCCAAAAAUCUAAAGCCAGACAGAUUACAAUUAACUACAUGAUUUAUUACAGUUACUUUUCUUAUUAGACUGAAAUGUUCGGCACACAAAAGACAUGGUUUGCCAAAAUAAGUUCAACAACAAAGACGAAAUGCUUUUGAAAAAAAUGCCAAUCAAUGACAAACAACUGCUUCAUGUCAUUUAUAUUACAGGAUCAGGUUCCACCAUUGGUGUGGAGAAACAAACGUGUACUGCACCCACAUGAAUACAUGUGAUCAGCAUGCCAGUACACACAUGCACACACACACACACACACACACACACACACACAUGCACGCACAC